rnacentral:rRNA from 1 species
GACGAACCGUGCGAACGUUAUUCGGAUUCACUGGGCUUAAAGGGCGCGUAGGCGGCGAUUCAAGUCUGGGGUGAAAGCCUUCGGCUUAACCGGAGAAGUGCCUUGGAUACUGGAUCGCUCGAGGGGGAUAGGGGCAUGCGGAACUUCCGGUGGAGCGGUGAAAUGCGUAGAUAUCGGAAGGAACGCCGGUGGCGAAAGCGGCAUGCUGGGUCACUUCUGACGCUGAGGCGCGAAAGCCAGGGGAGCAAACGGG